AAAAAAUAAAACUGCAUAAAUAACGAAUUUUGCGGCUUGAUUUGCCUUCGUUCCGGUUAUGUCUCUGCGCUAUAAAAAGCAUUAAGUGUUUUUUUUUUUUCAAAAAGUGUCAAAAGCUGAUACAUAAAGCAACAACUCAAGCGAAAUUGCUAUUUUGACUGUUCACUUGUCAAUUUGUCAGCUGUUGCCUGCAGCGUCGCUCAUAGCAAAUCGAGGUCAAGCAAAUACAUGCUGUCAUACAUAUGUAUACAACGAUUGGCAUUUGAAUGGAAACCGGAGUUUCACACAAUAUAAAAUUUUAGUGGAAAAGCAAAUAUUAUUUAAAAACAUCUUACAUUUCUAAAAACUAAAUUUUUUGUUAAAAAAAUAAAUUUUUUAUAUUAUGUUUCAAUUA